rnacentral:rRNA from 1 species
UACGUAGGGGGCGAGCGUUGUCCGGAGUUACUGGGCGUAAAGCGCACGCAGGCGGUCUGUUAAGUUUGGAGUGACAGUUGGUGGCUUAACUGCCAAAGUGCUUCGAAAACUUACAGACUUGAGGGCUUCAGAGGGACACGGAAUUCCGGGUGGAGUGGUGAAAUGCGUAGAGAUCCGGAGGAACACCAAAGGCGAAGGCAGUGUCCUGGGGAGUACCUGACGCUCAGGUGCGAAAGCCAGGGGAGCGAACGGG